GCCAGCACACCCCCAUGUGGCGAGGGAAGCGGACUGUAACUCCGUGGCUUCGGCUGUGCAGGUUCGACUCCUGCUGCUGGCA
rnacentral:tRNA from 1 species